GAUCCCGGAUGAGAGUUUGGUGCGGGAUGAAGCUGAGGGCCGUUGGAUUUAAUCCAAUGGCCAGGAAAAGAGAAGCCAAUAAAGUCUAGGGAAAUUACACUUUACCCCUCAACCCUCACACUUGCCCCCUUUUGUUUUCAUUCCACGCAAACCAGAGAGGGAGACAGAGAGAGAGAGACGAAUGAAGACGAACAAAGAACGAAGAGGAGAAGAAGAUCAAAGACGAACGACGAAGAUUGAAGCCAGCAUCCAUCGAGUGAAGAGAAAUAUCAUAAAAAGUUCAGUACCCAUUGUCUCUGUUGAACCCCCGGACUGUCCUGUGGAUGGUAGUGGGUGAUUCCUCUCACUGGAGGUGGGGAUCGUAAAUAAGAACUUAUGAAUUUUGAGUCUUGACGCAUCUAUGUCGACAUACGGAAUGGUAAUCUAUGAUUUGAUGCUUUUAAUUUUCAUACAUGGUGUCAUAGGCAGACUAGUCACUAGUGGGAUGCUUGAGCUUGGCUUCAUUAUGUAUUGCACUUGAUCUUGGUUUGAGUUUGGCCAAUCUUUUCUAAGCUUAGUUUUCAAAUGCAAGUUGCUGUUCUGGACUCGAUAGCGACGUCAUCUGUGAGCUUUUCUUUUAUCCUCUUGUUUGCCAAUUUGGCUUUUGUAUUAUCAAGAAUUGUGAUGCAAAUCUGCAAAAGGUGCUACAGAGACAUAGUUGGGACUUAAAAUAUGACCACCAUUGACACUUUGCUUCUCCUAAUUGUUGUCAUGAGUCAUGAAUUAGACUUGUUUUUCCUUUUGUCAUUGCUUUCCCAUGUUCUCUCGGAAGCCAACAUGGUUUGAAAGAACCACUGAAAGUUAGGGCAAAGACUUGUGGUAAGCGUUUGAAAGGAGAAAAAGAGAAGACCGUCAAGAAAAGUAGGAAAUGUCAUGGGUGUGGGUUAUUGGGGCAGUCGCAUGACAAAAAAAAAUUGUCCGAAACUUAUGAACAUGUAAGUGUACUUGUGUAUUUGUAAUUUGAACUUAUGUAAGUGUACAAACAAGUCACCAUCUGUUCUUUGACUGUGUGUAUGUUUCCCAGGUGUGUAAAAAGAUAAAAGUCAUUUUGAGGCCUUGGCUUGCCUUCUUGGGACGUUGUAUCUGAGAUUCAAUGGGGCAGUCAGCACUGUAAGGGGAAAUUAUUGAAAUUUUCUGUCUAUAAACUGUUUAUGCAUUGCUGCCACUGUUUAUGCAGUUUGGAAAAAGAGAAAUAGUCGUAUAUUUAGACAACAUGGUAUGGACCACUCUACUCUGGUGAAAUGUAUUUGGGAUGAGAUCAAGGCUGGGGUGAGUUCAUGGAGAAAUGUGCAUGUAUCUGCUGGGAACCAAGACUGCUGUGUGGCUUUGGGGCUCAAUCCUGCUAUAUUUGCUAAGGCUAGUUGUGCUUAGCUUAGUUGGUCAUGGAGUUGUGUCUUCCUUUUUGCUAUUUUGACUUCCAUAGUCUAUGUGGAAUUUUUUGUAUUUGGAGAAAUAUAUUUGGAAAUUUUUGUAUUUGGAGAAAUGUAUUCAGAUAGUCUGCUCUGGAGAAAUGUAUUUGGAAUUUUUUGUUUUC